rnacentral:rRNA from 1 species
UACGGGGGGGGCAAGCGUUGUUCGGAAUUACUGGGCGUAAAGGGUGCGUAGGCGGGUCUUUAAGUCAGGGGUGAAAUCCUGGAGCUCAACUCCAGAACUGCCUUUGAUACUGAGAAGCUUGAGUCCGGGAGAGGUGAGUGGAACUGCGAGUGUAGAGGUGAAAUUCGUAGAUAUUCGCAAGAACACCAGUGGCGAAGGCGGCUCACUGGCCCGGUACUGACGCUGAGGUGCGAAAGCGUGGGGAGCAAACAGG